AGAGUUUGAUCCUGGCUCAGGAUGAACGCUAGCUACAGGCUUAACACAUGCAAGUCGAGGGGCAUCAGGAAGAAAGCUUGCUUUCUUUGCUGGCGACCGGCGCACGGGUGAGUAACACGUAUCCAACCUGCCCUUUACUCGGGGAUAGCCUUUCGAAAGAAAGAUUAAUACCCGAUAGCAUAAUGAUUCCGCAUGGUUUCAUUAUUAAAGGAUUCCGGUAAAGGAUGGGGAUGCGUUCCAUUAGGUUGUUGGUGAGGUAACGGCUCACCAAGCCUUCGAUGGAUAGGGGUUCUGAGAGGAAGGUCCCCCACAUUGGAACUGAGACACGGUCCAAACUCCUACGGGAGGCAGCAGUGAGGAAUAUUGGUCAAUGGGCGCUAGCCUGAACCAGCCAAGUAGCGUGAAGGAUGAAGGCUCUAUGGGUCGUAAACUUCUUUUAUAUAAGAAUAAAGUGCAGUAUGUAUACUGUUUUGUAUGUAUUAUAUGAAUAAGGAUCGGCUAACUCCGUGCCAGCAGCCGCGGUAAUACGGAGGAUCCGAGCGUUAUCCGGAUUUAUUGGGUUUAAAGGGAGCGUAGGUGGACUGGUAAGUCAGUUGUGAAAGUUUGCGGCUCAACCGUAAAAUUGCAGUUGAUACUGUCAGUCUUGAGUACAGUAGAGGUGGGCGGAAUUCGUGGUGUAGCGGUGAAAUGCUUAGAUAUCACGAAGAACUCCGAUUGCGAAGGCAGCUCACUGGACUGCAACUGACACUGAUGCUCGAAAGUGUGGGUAUCAAACAGGAUUAGAUACCCUGGUAGUCCACACAGUAAACGAUGAAUACUCGCUGUUUGCGAUAUACAGUAAGCGGCCAAGCGAAAGCAUUAAGUAUUCCACCUGGGGAGUACGCCGGCAACGGUGAAACUCAAAGGAAUUGACGGGGGCCCGCACAAGCGGAGGAACAUGUGGUUUAAUUCGAUGAUACGCGAGGAACCUUACCCGGGCUUAAAUUGCAGUGGAAUGAUGUGGAAACAUGUCAGUGAGCAAUCACCGCUGUGAAGGUGCUGCAUGGUUGUCGUCAGCUCGUGCCGUGAGGUGUCGGCUUAAGUGCCAUAACGAGCGCAACCCUUAUCUUUAGUUACUAACAGGUUAUGCUGAGGACUCUAGAGAGACUGCCGUCGUAAGAUGUGAGGAAGGUGGGGAUGACGUCAAAUCAGCACGGCCCUUACGUCCGGGGCUACACACGUGUUACAAUGGGGGGUACAGAAGGCAGCUAGCGGGUGACCGUAUGCUAAUCCCAAAAGCCUCUCUCAGUUCGGAUCGAAGUCUGCAACCCGACUUCGUGAAGCUGGAUUCGCUAGUAAUCGCGCAUCAGCCACGGCGCGGUGAAUACGUUCCCGGGCCUUGUACACACCGCCCGUCAAGCCAUGGGAGCCGGGGGUACCUGAAGUACGUAACCGCAAGGAUCGUCCUAGGGUAAAACUGGUGACUGGGGCUAAGUCGUAACAAGGUAGCCGUACCGGAAGGUGCGGCUG
rnacentral:rRNA from 1 species